AGCUCCAAUAGCGUAUAUUAAAGUUGUUGCGGUUAAAAAGCUCGUAGUUGGAUUUCUGUCGAAAACAACCGGUCCGCUCUAUGAGCGUGUAUCUGGUCUGGUUUUGGCAUCCUCGUGGGGAACAGCUCUGUGCUUGAUUGCAUGGACUGGUAUUCACGACUUUUACUUGAGGAAAUUAGAGUGUUCACGGCAGGCAAGCGCCUUGAAUACAUUAGCAUGGAAUAAUAAUAUAGGACUUUGGUUCUAUUUUGUUGGUUUCUAGAACUGAAGUAAUGAUUAAUAGGGAUAAUUGGGGGGCAUUUGU
rnacentral:rRNA from 1 species